rnacentral:lncRNA from 10 species
UGAAAACACAUAUUCAUAAAAGCUUUAGGAGAGAGUUCAUCAUUGAUCUACCCCAUAAGUAGUCUUGUGCUAAGCGAUAACCUUGUGGUCUCUUUAUACAGCCUCUUAGCAACAUCUGGUUGGAAGAAGGGAAGAAAUUUUAAUGCAGAUUUUCAUUAUUUCAGGAGCCUUGAGACAAAAGACUUCUCAACUCAUUUGAGAAGUUUUGUUUAAGUGGUCCUUAUAUCUCAAGAAAGAGUUUAUUCAGCUUUUGUCAUAUUUAAUCAUUUGUGUUUUUAGGCUUGUGCCAUCUUAUUGGAGCCAUUUCACAAGAAGUGGACAGAUGAAAUAAAAGUAAAUAAAUUUAAAAACAAUUACAGCUUAUGUCCCAUGUCCAUGAUAGAGCCAACUGCCAUCUAUAUCAUGAGCAUCUAAGAAUAUACGCUGAUACAGUUUGGGUUCUCCAAGAAACAAUAUCUCAGAGAGAGUUUGGUAUAGACUGAAGAUAUUUAUUAAAGAAUUCUCUUGGCAUAAACACCUGUGAAAGGAAUGGUCAGGAAAUAGGAUUGGGCAGUGGGGGUAGAGGAGAGAGAGAGCUGUAAAGCAGUUAAUUACAGAGGGAGCUCUGAAGCUAAAAUGGGUCAACUGAGUUGCUUAGCAUUUGGGCUGAAAUGUCCAGACCUUAAUAUUUCUACCUAGAUGGGUAGCUGGAUAUGGGCUAUAUUCAGAAAUAUAUGAUACUGGGCAAAGUGUCAGUGCCUGAAAGGACUGAAAGCUGAAGGCUGUUAUCUGACAGCACUUCUAGUAGCUGGGACAAGACAUCUUUCUGUGCAGAGGAAGUGGUGUCAAUGUCCAUUGUCCACCACAUAUGCUGUCCAAGGUUCACUGCAGCCACCUUCCAUUUUUCUAUCUGCUAUGAUGCUGUAUUUUACAUUCUUCUAUAAUGCUUGCACUGAAUAUUACUAUUCCUCAAACUAAAUUACUGUUCACUCCCAACUAGUAUAGACUUAGUAUGUUAUAAUCUGAAUUCCUCUUAAAUAUCCAAAGAUAAAAAUAUGUAUAAAUUCCUUGUGUAGCUUAUAAAAUUAUGUAGGAAAUCACAUUAAAGUUUAAAUGCAGUCAAUUCUUAUUAUUUGCAGUAGUUAAUUUCUAUAAAUCCACAUCCAACACUGAACAAUUGCAACAAAAGCAAAAAUUAACAAAUGGGAUCUAAGUAAACAAAAGUUUCUGCAUAGCAAAAGAAACUAUCAAUAGAGUAGACAGACAACCUACAGAAUGAGAGAAAACUUUUGCAAACUGUGCAUCUGACAAGGUUUAAUAGCCACCAUCUAUAAGGAACGUAAACAAAUUUACAAGAAAAAAACAAGCAACCCAAAUAAAAAGUGGGCCAAGGACGUGGUCAGAUACUUUUCAAAAGAAGACAUAUAUGUGUUCAACCGUCAUAUAAAAAAAUCUCAAGAGAAAUUACAGAAAUGCAAAUCAAAGCCAC